CCGGACCGGCGCGGCGGGCGGUGCGCGUGGCGCAAGGGCAGGGUCGGUCCGUGCCAACUGCUGCGUGCUGCUGGGUCGGAAAGCCUGGCACAGGUGGAAUAACUGAUGGGGGAGCGCUAAUUAAUGGCAGGAUUGUGUGUGGUGUGCUCGGUGAUGUUUGCAGCGCACCGAUUGCCUUAGCCGUUGUCAGCGCCUUACUGCCCGCGGCAGAGCACGUGCGGCAGGAGGAGCGCGCGGCUGUUGAGCCGACCCCGGGCGGGAAGCGGCUCUGUCUGAAGGUUGCUUGGCUUUGGUGCUCGCGUCCAAACAACGAACGUAACGUCUGCAUUUCCCCGUGUUAUCGCUCACCACAUCGUUCUUCUCUCCCUUCUCUACCUCAUGCAAUGUGCGUGUUGCUGUCAGCUCCGGCGAUUGCUAAUUGCCAUGAAGCAUCCAAUUCAUUUCAAAGAGCAAGAAGCGAAACAUUUCCUCAGAACCUUUUUGUCUAGGAGCCGUUCUGGUUGAUGUUCCGUAGGUGUUGGCUGCUGCCAUUUCUGCCCGUUGUCUGCUGUUCACGGGGCAGGCACGGUUCUGCCCUCCAGUCUCUGGAAAAUACAGAAUACGGGAGACAAGUUUCAUAGCCAGAAAUCUUCUAACUUCAUUCCUGCAAGGCGGUGACUGCUCCAGUGCUCUGACAUCAGCUGCUCAAGUUAGAAGGUGAUAGAUCAGAGAUUCUGGAUGAGAGCAUUCCACUCACUAAUGACAAGGCGUUUAUUAGAACAGUUGCACACCGUGUUUCCUUCCUAGAAGAGAAAGUGCCCGAAGCAAAGAAGAGUCAUGGUGCCUUUUUAAUACCACUUUCCAACUGUUUCGAUAUGCAGUUAUCCCAUCUUUAAAAACGUCUGGGACAUACCUUAACUCUGUAAAGAACAUCAUGAAUAUGCAGUCUGGUUAACAGGCAUGGAAAGGACACGGGGAGUUGGACCAGAUGGCCCUCAGAAGUCCCUUCCGACUCUGACGAUUCUGUGUUGUAUUUUGAAACAGAUGCCAAGAAAUGAUUGUACAGACCUCCUCCAGGAGUGGCACUUUAAGAUCUGCCAAAACUCUAUCAAACCAAAGACUUUUUCCCUAUGAACAAUGUAGGUACCAAGUAUCAAAAUCAUUGAUUUCUGUCUCUUUUAUAAAAGGCUGGGUUUGUUCUUAUGGUUCAUACUUUAUAUAUGUAAGUAGAAGCAACUGUUAUACUUCAGAUCUUUGGUUAGCAUCUGUAAAAGGAAGCUGAAACUUUCCAAUCAUGUUGUGGCCGUAUAGAGGCUGGAACAUUUAUUCUAAGAUUUGAUCACAGUAGUUUACACCAUAAGCUUACAGAACCAGCAAAGCAAAUAUAUAAAGCAUCACAUUUUUAUACUUAAAAUGAUCAGAAGCUUAAAGAAUGUGCUAGUAUUGCAUGCUAAAACUGCCAGCCUCACAAAUCAUCAGGAUACACCACAGAGCAUGAAAUCAGGGUCAGAAUUUAACAAUUCAAUAAACCACAUAUGGCCAAACCUUCUAGCACUCCAAAGCAGGAAUAGGGUUUUAAAAGCUGUUGCGUAACACAAGCUGAGUAAUAUGAAUAAACUUUUUGCAAUGUUGUUAUGGACCUUUGGAUGUGCCAUUUUGUAAGAGUCAUUCUGUUUAACCAGAACUUGAAGUAGAAUAUUCAUCUCCCCACCUGUAGCUUGUUUUUUUUUUUUUUGUCUAGGUGAACAAAAAACAAUUAUCUGAAUAAGGAAAAUUAGAAAGAGGAGGUUAUAUACGUAGGUUAGAAGAUACUUGUCUCCUUUAUGUACAGAAGAUCUCACUAUGGCAACAAAAAG
ensembl:lncRNA